GACGCUCAUGGACGAAAGCCAGGGGAGCGAAAGGGAUUAGAUACCCCUGUAGUCCUGGCCGUAAACGAUGAGAACUAGCCGUUGGAUCUUAGAUUCAGUGGUACAGCUAACGCAUUAAGUUCUCCGCCUGGGGAGUACGGCCGCAAGGCUAAAACUCAAAUGAAUUGACGGGGGCCCGCACAAGCGGUGGAACAUGUGGUUUAAUUCGAUGCAACGCGAAAAACCUUACCAACCCUUGACAUCUAGUGAAAUUUCUAGAGAUAGAUUUGUGCCUUCGGGAACACUAUGACAGGUGUUGCAUGGCUGUCGUCAGCUCGUGUCGUGAGAUGUAUGGUUAAGUCCAGUAACGAGCGCAACCCCUAUUCUUAUUUGCCAGCACUUCGGGUGGGAACUAUAAGGAGACCGCCGUGUAUAACACGGAGGAAGGCGGGGACGACGUCAAGUCAUCAUGGCCCUUACGGGUUGGGCUACACACGUGCUACAAUGGGAGAUACAGAUGGUUGCGAAAGCGCGAGCUGGAGCUAAUCCCAAAAAGUCUUCCUCAGUCCGGAUUGGAAUCUGCAACUCGACUCCAUGAAGCAGGAAUCGCUAGUAAUUGUGAAUCAGAAUGUCACGGUGAAUACGUUCUCGGGCCUUGUACACACCGCCC
rnacentral:rRNA from 1 species